GACGAACGCUGGCGGCGUGCUUAACACAUGCAAGUCGAACGGAAAGGCCCUGCUUUUGUGGGGUGCUCGAGUGGAGAACGGGUGAGUAACACGUGAGUAACCUGACCUUGACUUUGGGAUAACUUCAGGAAACUGGGGCUAAUACCGGAUAGGAGCGCAUGCUGCAUGGUGGGGGUUGGAAAGUGUCGGCGGUUGGGGAUGGACUCGCGGCUUAUCAGCUUGUUGGUGGGGUAGUGGCUUACAAAGGCUUUGACGGGUAGCCGGCCUGAGAGGGUGACCGGCCACAUUGGUACUGCGAUACGGCCCAGACUCCUACGGGAGGCAGCAGUGGGGAAUAUUGCACCAUGGUCGGAAGCCUGAUGCAGCAACGCCGCGUGCGGGAUGACGGCCUUCGGGUUGUAAACCGCUUUCGCCUGUGACGAAGCGUGAGUGACGGUAAUGGGUAAAGAAGCACCGGCUAACUACGUG
rnacentral:rRNA from 1 species